GAUGAACGCUGGCGGCGUGCCUAAUACAUGCAAGUCGAGCGAACAGACGAGGAGCUUGCUCCUCUGACGUUAGCGGCGGACGGGUGAGUAACAAGUGGAUAACCUACCUAUAAGACUGGGAUAACUUCGGGAAACCGGAGCUAAUACCGGAUAAUAUAUUGAACCGCAUGGUUCAAUAGUGAAAGACGGCUUUGCUGUCACUUAUAGAUGGAUCCGCGCCGCAUUAGCUAGUUGGUAAGGUAACGGCUUACCAAGGCGACGAUGCGUAGCCGACCUGAGAGGGUGAUCAGCCACACUGGAACUGAGACACGGUCCAGACUCCUACGGGAGGCAGCAGUAGGGAAUCUUCCGCAAAGGGCGAAAGCCUGACGGAGCAACGCCGCGUGAGUGAUGAAGGUCUUCGGAUCGUAAAACUCUGUUAUUAGGGAAGAACAAAUGUGUAAGUAACUAUGCACGUCUUGACGGUACCUAAUCAGAAAGCCACGGCUAACUACGUG
rnacentral:rRNA from 1 species